rnacentral:rRNA from 1 species
CACGUAGGGCGCAAGCGUUGUCCGGAAUUAUUGGGCGUAAAGAGCUCGUAGGCGGUCUGUUGCGUCCGCUGUGAAAACUCGGGGCUUAACCCCGAGCCUGCAGUGGAUACGGGCAGACUAGAGGUAGGUAGGGGAGAAUAGAAUUCCCGGUGUAGCGGUGAAAUGCGCAGAUAUCGGGAGGAACACCGGUGGCGAAGGCGGUUCUCUGGGCCUUACCUGACGCUGAGGAGCGAAAGCGUGGGGAGCGAACAGG